UACGUAGGGUGCGAGCGUUGUCCGGAAUUAUUGGGCGUAAAGAGCUCGUAGGCGGUUUGUCGCGUCUGCCGUGAAAACCCGAGGCUUAACCUCGGGCUGGCGGUGGAUACGGGCAGACUAGAGGUAGGUAGGGGAGAAUGGAAUUCCCGGUGUAGCGGUGAAAUGCGCAGAUAUCGGGAGGAACACCGGUGGCGAAGGCGGUUCUCUGGGCCUUACCUGACGCUGAGGAGCGAAAGCGUGGGGAGCGAACAGG
rnacentral:rRNA from 1 species